rnacentral:lncRNA from 1 species
AUGUGAUCAGGCUCAAGCAGGUCCUGAAGGCACAAACAAGUUACUUGAGGAAGUAACUCAAAUGCCCAUGGUCUCCACUCCUGCCACCCUGCCUUCUCUCUCGUAGCCUGCACCGACGGCCUCAUGGGGAGUUCCCUAUGAUCACCUGACAGAGGAAGAGAAGACAGUGGAAUGGCCUUUUGAAGUAACAAUUACAAUGCCAACUAGGUGACAAUACUUUGAGGGGCUGGGGUAAAGUUCUCCAGAAGGCUGUGUAUGCUCUGAAUCAGCAUCCAGUAUAUGGCACUGUUUCUCCCAUAGCUAGGAUUCAUGGGUCCAGGAAUUAAGGGGUGGAAGUGGAAGUGGCACCAUUCACCAUCACCCCUAGUGAUCCACUAGCAAAAUUUUUGCUUCCUGUUCCCAGGACAUUACUCUCUACUGGCCUAGAGGUCUUUGUUCCAGAGGGAGGAACCCUGCCACGAGGAAACACAACAAUGAUUCCAUUAAACUGGAAGUUAAGAUUGCCACCUGGACUCUUUGGGCUCCUCCUAGCUUUAAGGCAACAGGCUAAGAAUGGAGUUACAGUAUUGGCUGGGGUGGUUGACCCGGACUAUCAAGAUGAAAUCAGUCUACUACUACACAACAGAGAAAUUCAGAAGCUGCUCAAACUCCAGUGCAGUCAUGGAGCCUCCAUUACCUGGGAGGCAGCCUCCAAGCAGCAUGCAGCCUUGUCAGAAACUGCACCGCCAAGGGUGAGAAUGGCAUUAGAAGCAAAGAGUGCACUUGAACUGAGUACUUUCCACAUAACCGACGCUAGGGACACCGCAGGACAUAGUUGCUGCCUCUGAGGAGCUCCCAAAUUUGCUCUCCAGAGAGGCCUCUCACCCCACCUUCCAUAGCUUUGUCUCCACUGAGUCAAAAGCUGUUAGAUCAUCUGUUUGUCCCCUGAGUGGUCCUUAGAAUGAACAGCCAAAUGGAUGGCUUGGUGGUGGUGUGUGCCAUGCCUGCAGGAAGCUCCCAAGGAAGCAAUUUCCAGCACUUUCCCCUCUGCAGCUUCCCACCAAGCUAUGCGAAAACAUAUCAAUGAUUUGACUGCAACGUCCCUGACAGCUGCUGCCCAUCUCCACGUGGGGCCCUCCAAUAACUGGAAACUUGGUCUUAAAUUUUUUAACUUGGAAAAUACAAACAAUGACGACGACCGUGAAUGUGAGUUAUUUCUGUGAUUUCUCUUUUCAUUAAAGUCCAUCCAGUCACCAGUUUGAGCCUGUCACAAAUCUGCUUCUCUCCCACACGACCUUCUCUGGCCACUGACUGCAUUUUCAAAAGUAGCCCAAGGCCAGAGAACAGCUGUUUGCUGAUUCCCUCGAGAACAAAUUGCAAAUUGUGCAUCAUCGGCAUGUGCUCUUGGCUUCUUUGAAGGAUGCGUUGAAAUGUGCCAAAUGGCAAAUGAGAAUCACAGAAUCCAGGUGUCUCCUAGUCACUAAGAUAUAACUGACAUGAAAUAAAAAGUGUAAAUUUAAAAAGUAAAAGGAGCAUCAGUCUGUAACUCCUUGAGCUGGAUUGUUCUAGAGUCAACCUGUUUCCACUGGGCACUACAUUUCCCAGGGUGUUCCGGAUUUGAGCUGACCCAAUGUGAAUUCGUGUAGGAUUUGGGAGGGGAAGUGAAGCCUCUCCCCUCUGGGGGUUACUGUUGGUUUAGAGAGGUGAGAUCCACGUGGAGGUGCCCAAGAGUUCCAGCAGGUCACUUUUCUCCACUGCACAUGCAGCUCUCCUUUCAGGCUGCUGAGCCUGCUGACCGGCAGUGAUGCCAAGCCCAGCACCGAUGCUUUGCUGUGAAUUCUGACCCGGCAGCCUUCCAGGGACUUCCCUGCCUGCCUCCUUUGCAGUCCUGCUCCAGCAGCUAGAGGAGCCCAGCUCCCCAUCUUCCCUGAAAGCAUGGACUCCAGCUUCGGGGCUG